GACAGAGGGUGCAAACGUUGUUCGGAAUUACUGGGCGUAAAGGGCGCGUAGGCGGCCUGUUAAGUCGAACGUGAAAUCCCCGGGCUCAACCCGGGAACUGCGUCCGAUACUGGCAGGCUUGAAUCCGGGAGAGGGAUGUGGAAUUCCAGGUGUAGCGGUGAAAUGCGUAGAUAUCUGGAGGAACACCGGUGGCGAAGGCGGCAUCCUGGACCGGCAUUGACGCUGAGGCGCGAAAGCUAGGGGAGCAAACGGG
rnacentral:rRNA from 1 species